rnacentral:rRNA from 1 species
CAGUAGCCGCGGUAAUACGAAGGGGGCUAGCGUUGUUCGGAAUUACUGGGCGUAAAGGGCGCGUAGGCGGCCAUUCAAGUUAGAUGUGAAAGCCCUGGGCUCAACCUAGGAAUUGCAUUUGAUACUGUUUGGCUUGAGUUCGGGAGAGGUGAGUGGAAUACCCAGUGUAGAGGUGAAAUUCGUAGAUAUUGGGGAGAACACCAGUGGCGAAGGCGGCUCACUGGACCGACACUGACGCUGAGGCGCGAAAGCGUGGGGAGCAAACAGGAUUAGAUACCCCCGUAGUCCCUGUCUCUUAUAC